UAAAAUGAGGCCGAAAGAAUAGGCGCUUAGCUGUUAACUAAGAUAAAGUAGGAUAGAUACCUACCAGUUUAG
rfam:Monodelphis domestica chromosome 1, whole genome shotgun sequence.